GAUCUGCCCUGCACUUUGGGAUAAGCCUGGGAAACUGGGUCUAAUACCGAAUAUGAUCAUCGGCUUCAUGGUCGGUGGUGGAAAGCUUUUGCGGUGUGGGAUGGGCCCGCGGCCUAUCAGCUUGUUGGUGGGGUAAUGGCCUACCAAGGCGACGACGGGUAGCCGGCCUGAGAGGGUGUCCGGCCACACUGGGACUGAGAUACGGCCCAGACUCCUACGGGAGGCAGCAGUGGGGAAUAUUGCACAAUGGGCGCAAGCCUGAUGCAGCGACGCCGCGUGAGGGAUGACGGCCUUCGGGUUGUAAACCUCUUUCGCCAGGGACGAAGCGCAAGUGACGGUACCUGGAGAAGAAGCACCGGCCAACUACGUGCCAGCAGCCGCGGUAAUACGUAGGGUGCGAGCGUUGUCCGGAAUUACUGGGCGUAAAGAGCUCGUAGGUGGUUUGUCGCGUUGUUCGUGAAAACUCACAGCUUAACUGUGGGCGUGCGGGCGAUACGGGCAGACUGGAGUACUGCAGGGGAGACUGGAAUUCCUGGUGUAGCGGUGGAAUGCGCAGAUAUCAGGAGGAACACCGGUGGCGAAGGCGGGUCUCUGGGCAGUAACUGACGCUGAGGAGCGAAAGCGUGGGGAGCGAACAGGAUUAGAUACCCUGGUAGUCCACGCCGUAAACGGUGGGUACUAGGUGUGGGUUUCCUUCCUUGGGAUCCGUGCCGUAGCUAACGCAUUAAGUACCCCGCCUGGGGAGUACGGCCGCAAGGCUAAAACUCAAAGGAAUUGACGGGGGCCCGCACAAGCGGCGGAGCAUGUGGAUUAAUUCGAUGCAACGCGA
rnacentral:rRNA from 1 species